GCGCUCCGCCCCUCGCUGUCUUCGGUUCCUCUCUGCUCCACUCUGGCUGGGUUGCCCGUUUUUGCACCGCACGUGCAGGGGACUGCAUAGUCCGCGCGGUGGCCCUGUCCUACUCGAGGCGCACCUGUGCCUUUCGUGCUUCCCAGGGCAGGGCGCGAGAGCCCCCGGGGCCUUCACAGCCCUGCACCGGGUUAUCCCGUGACUCCCAUACCCCAGUCAUCUACCAUCGUUUUGGGGUGUCCCACGUGCAAAUGGCGUGGAACCAAGCUUGCUGAUAUUUCUCCAGGUCACAGGUCAAAGGGGUGAAGAAAAACUCUUCUUGAAAGACCAUAUGAAGAUUUGAAAAAAGAUGGCUGUCUACCAACAGCCUCUGUCCAAGGUCAGGGGAGCGAGGUCCCAGGGAAGGCCGCAAUGAAGAAACACCCCGCAGAUUCACCCAGAAGUGAUGCUGUCUCCCCAAUCUGGGAUCUGUGAGCAACAUCAACCCUCACAGCAACCAGUUCUCCGGCUCUGACACCAACUGGGAUCCGGAUCAUAUCUGGUACUGUGUGGCUACCAGGAGUCAGCAGACCACAGGGGUUGAGGACUCAGUCCUACCUCUGUUUAUUUUUUAUU